rnacentral:rRNA from 1 species
UACGUAGGGGGCAAGCGUUGUCCGGAUUUACUGGGCGUAAAGAGCGUGUAGGCGGCCAAGCAGGUCCGUUGUGAAAACUGGAGGCUUAACCUCCAGACGUCGACGGAAACCGCGUGGCUAGAGUCCGGAAGAGGAGAGUGGAAUUCCUGGUGUAGCGGUGAAAUGCGCAGAUAUCAGGAAGAACACCGAUGGCGAAGGCAGACGCUCUGGUGACGGUACUGACGCUGAGACGCGAAAGCGUGGGGAGCGAACAGG